AACGAACGCUGGCGGCAUGCCUAACACAUGCAAGUCGAACGAGACCUUCGGGUCUAGUGGCGCACGGGUGCGUAACGCGUGGGAACCUGCCCUUAGGUUCGGAAUAACUCCCCGAAAGGGGUGCUAAUACCGGAUAAUGUCUUCGGACCAAAGAUUUAUCGCCUUUGGAUGGGCCCGCGUUGGAUUAGCUAGUUGGUAGGGUAAAAGCCUACCAAGGCGACGAUCCAUAGCUGGUCUGAGAGGAUGAUCAGCCACACUGGAGCUGAGACACGGCCCAGACUCCUACGGGAGGCAGCAGUGGGGAAUAUUGGGCAAUGGGCGAAAGCCUGAUCCAGCAAUGCCGCGUGAGUGAUGAAGGCCUUAGGGUUGUAAAGCUCUUUUACCCGGGAUGAUAAUGACAGUACCGGGAGAAUAAGCUCCGGCUAACUCCGUG
rnacentral:rRNA from 1 species